CUCGGAAUCACUGGGCGUAAAGCGCACGUAGGCGGGCUUGUAAGUCCGUGGUGAAAUCUCCGGGCUCAACCCGGAAACUGCCAUGGAUACUAUUGGUCUUGAAUAUUGUUGAGGUGGGCGGAACGGGUCAUGUAGCGGUGAAAUGCAUAGAUAUGACCCGGAACACCGAUUGCGAAGGCAGCCCACUAAGCAAUGAUUGACGCUGAGGCACGAAAGCGUGGGGAUCAAACAGG
rnacentral:rRNA from 1 species